UCGGAGAAGCGGGUAGCU
rnacentral:misc_RNA from 1 species